rnacentral:lncRNA from 1 species
GCCUUCUCUGACACCUACUCCAAAAGGGAAUAUUUCUCUUGCUGAUUCUCCAGGAAUCUGCUCAAGGCUAUAAGGCGCAAAAGUUGUAGAGCCAAAUUGCUGGAUUUCUGCAAUUUGUCAAUCAACACAGUACUGACUAAUACAAGUUAUGAUCAUGGUCUGCUUUACAUCAUAACUAAUGGUGCUCAGGGAAGAAGGAAAAGGAGCACACCUGGCAGCAACAUCGACAGGACUGACUGAAUAUUUUACAAUGGAGUUGCAGAGUAUGUGCGUUCAAUCAUUUGGCUUCCCAGAAGAUUCAUUACAGUCACAUUAGAAAGUCAAAUCAGGCAAUUCUGCAGUCUGGUGAAAGCUAG